GUACUGUACCACCUUCUAAAGCAUGGCCCACUUCAGGUACUGUACUGUCCCACCUGGACAGGUCUGACACCCUGUACCAAUACUUUAUAAAAUUAACCCUUCUUUCCUAACUUACUUGUUGAUCACUCAUCUGUAUGUGUUUUGAAGUAAAUUAACUCUGCUACACAGUAAGUUCCUGUGGGAGGGGUCUCAGAGUGGGUGUGUCCUUCAGUCAGGAAACAAAACUGGAAAGCUCUGCCUUCAUCAGGCCAGACGGGUCAGUGGUGCUUACCAUCCUCAACAGUGCUCCAGCUCACUCCCUGCUCACACUCGCUUGGAACACACUCUGACCGCACUGGAAUGGAACACACACCUUUAACUGCCAGGGCCAAAGCAUUGUCACAGUCCCCACUACCAGGUCUGCUACAUUUCCACCACUACACACUCAACUCCCACCACCAUCCGAAGCCCAAUGUGCUGCCUUCUCAGAACAGCAUAUCUAAUAGAUAACCUGCAGCAUCGGGGGCUCUGGCAUUUCUGGGAUCAGAGCUUGAAAUGUGUGUGUGGUUUAGCCAAUACAGCCAAAUAUGUUGCGUGUUCCUAUGUAUGCUGUGACUAUCUGCACUGAUCUUUAUCACGCUGGGAGAAGCUCUGGAAUGUGUGAAUAUAGCAUGUGAUCAAACCAGGACCAGGUACACUAACUACUAUGAUCAGACACUGCUGCUGUUUGAGACGGUCUGACCAUUACACUGCUAACAACCGUUUCUAAACUGAAAUCUGGUUUAGAAAAGAGAUCAUGUUCCGAAUCUAUUAAUGCCGUUUAAACCAUUUGCCUUUUGAAUAAAUGAUUUCUCUAUAACGUCGUCA